UGUGGUUGCUUUCUUUGCCUUGGGGU
rnacentral:piRNA from 1 species